rnacentral:rRNA from 1 species
UACGUAGGGUGCAAGCGUUGUCCGGAAUUAUUGGGCGUAAAGAGCUUGUAGGCGGUUUGUCGCGUCUGCUGUGAAAUUUCGGGGCUCAACCCCGAACUUGCAGUGGGUACGGGCAGACUAGAGUGUGGUAGGGGGAGACUGGAAUUCCUGGAUGUAGCGGUGAAAUGCGCAGAUAUCAGGAGGAACACCGAUGGCGAAGGCAGGUCUCUGGGCCACUACUGACGCUGAGAAGCGAAAGCAUGGGGAGCGAACAGG